UACAGAGGUCUCAAGCGUUGUUCGGAUUCAUUGGGCGUAAAGGGUGCGUAGGCGGCGCGGUAAGUCGGGUGUGAAAUCUCGGAGCUUAACUCCGAAACUGCAUUCGAUACUGCCGUGCUUGAGGACUGGAGAGGAGACUGGAAUUUACGGUGUAGCGGUGAAAUGCGUAGAUAUCGGGAGGAACAUCGAUGGCGAAGGCAAUCACCUGGGCCUGAACUGACACUGUGACACGAAAGCGUGGGUAGCAAACAGG
rnacentral:rRNA from 1 species